AAGACUCUAGUAUAACUGAAACUACACUGCUUUGUCAAGGCAGAAAUGUGGGUUAAAGCCCCGCGUGUCUUA
rnacentral:tRNA from 1 species